rnacentral:tRNA from 2 species
CAGGAUGUAGCUUAUUUAAAGUUGAUUAUUUACAUUAAUUAGAAAAUUUACUGUUCUUUCUGA